rnacentral:rRNA from 1 species
AUGCUGUUUUGGCCAAGCUUAAAAGAAUCUCAACGAAAGACUGAAGAGAAUGAGCAGCAAGAGUACAUCAUCUGCGGAACACCUGGUGGCAUCCAGUACGUUGGUGAGCUUGACGACAACUGUUACUGGGGCAAUGAGGUGAAGCUCUAUGAGCACCAAGUAGACACCCUCUUUGCUAUGUUUUGGCACAAAGAGCCAGACAUCAAGUACUACGUGUGCACAAUCAACAAGACGUUUGCCAAACCAGGCCAGCGCAUGUAUUUUCAGGUUAACUAUACUGAAGAGAACCUACUGGACUACAUUGAUCCAAACAAUGAUACACUCAUGGUCAGACUUGCAGACGGCCAUCUGCUUGCCGAAUGUCGCAUGAUGCUAGGAACUGACAAGAGGGCCACUAUAACCACCAACUGGUCUGAGUUUCGUCGCCGCGCCAACAUUCGCGAAGGAGACAUCUGUGCAUUUCGUUUCAGGAUAACUUCAAAGCGCCGCCUGGUCCUCACCGUGCACCGCCUCUAG